AUGGAUAGUUGUUGCUUCUCUUUGGAAAAAAAUAGAGAGAUCAAGCGAAGGAGAGAAAAUCAAAGAAGCAGACAGUUGAAAAGAUGACGACGAUACGCCGAUUCUGCUGUAAUGAUCUUCUCCGCUUUACUUCCGUCAAUUUGGACCAUCUCACUGAAACCUUCAAUAUGUCAUUUUAUAUGACCUAUUUGGCGAGAUGGCCCGACUAUUUUCACGUUGCUGAAUCCCCCGGUAACAAAGUCAUGGGCUACAUCAUGGGUAAAGUUGAAGGACAGGGCGAGUCGUGGCAUGGGCAUGUAACUGCUGUUACUGUUGCUGCUGAAUAUCGAAGGCAGCAGUUAGCUAAGAAGCUCAUGAACCUCCUCGAGGACAUCAGCGACAAAAUCGACAAGGCGUACUUUGUGGAUCUUUUUGUCAGAGCAUCAAAUACACCUGCCAUAAAGAUGUAUGAGAAGCUUGGGUAUAUAAUCUAUAGACGAGUUUUACGGUAUUACUCAGGAGAGGAAGAUGGCUUAGACAUGAGGAAAGCUUUAUCGCAUGAUGUUGAAAAGAAGUCCAUGAUUCCUCUGAAACGGCCAAUUACUCCUGACGAAUUGGAGUAUGAUUAGAUCUCCUAUCAAUGGAUAUCUAAAUGAGAAAAUGGUGCUUGUAAUUCUCAAUAACAAGUGGAAUCUGAUUUGGCUUAUUAAACCUCAGCUGGUUCAAAUAUGCUUUUGAUGUUUGUCAAAGUAGGAAAAUCGCCGUUUUUUCCGUUUUUUGUCGACGUGGCAUCCAAUUUCUCGUCCGGACACCAACUGGCGGCGCCUGUCCCCCCUGCAUGCAUGUCUGACAUCUGCUGCUUGUGUAAAAAUGCGUCAGUUGACUUUUUUCAAAAAAAAAAAACAAAUGAAAAGUAAUCGCGGUAAUUUUUUAUUUUCUCUCCUACUUUUCCUUUUCCCCACUCGCUCCCUCUCACUUCCGUUUCACUAUUUUCGUUUCAAAUAUUUUCUCCACUCUUCGUCUUCUUCCCCCUCACUGCCGUUUUUUCGUUUCUUCGCUGACACUGACCUAGGGUUUGCUCCUUUCCCAUUUUUCGUUCAUUCUUUCUCAUUUUUCUUGCAUUGUUCCCCAUUGUUCCUUCAUUGUUCAACAUUGUCUUUCAUUUACCGAAGUGUAAAAAAUAUAAGUAAAAUCGCUGAAAAACCUAACUAAAAGAGAACAUUACUUCUGCAACAAAGAACAAGAAAGUGAUUAAAGGUUUUUAGUUUGUGUGGCUGCAAAAAAUGAAGAGAAAAGGAUUCAGUAGACGAAAACGAAAAGAAAAGAGUGAUUCUAGAAGAGGGCCUCCUGGAACUGCUGGGUAUGGCUUGAUGGAUAGUUCCAGCAGCGAUGAUGUUAUAGAAGGUAUGCUUGUAGUCUAUUUUAUAGGACAUUUUUGCUAAGAAAUUGGCGGGGGUUGAUGACGGUUAAAAGUUGAUAAAUUUGUAGGACCACUUAAUUAAGAAACAUGUCAAAUUGUUUUUUUUA